AUUUUUUUACAGCGUAAUCAUACAGUAUUUAGUAGUACUGCAGAGGUUAAAGGUUAAAAUUAUGUACAAAACAAGUACUGAUUGGUCGUUUAGGGUUCAGCGUAGUAAUUUUUGCUAGUGUAGCGGGAGUUUAAUGGAUCAGCUGACUGUACGAUUGAUAGUGAAAGGGGCAGGACUGUUUUCUGUAGGGAGCCCUGUUGUUCCAUCCUGGGGCCUUAGACAAUAUUAGAGAUGUUGUGCAGCAUUUAGAAGUCUUACUAACCAGCACAGUACCGCCACGAGUGAGUGAGCCAGUGUGGUAAAGUGGAGACAUUCAUCUCUUGGAUGAAGGUCGAGAUCUCAUGUUUACGAGAUUGUACGUUUACCAGUUUACUGGAUUACACGUUUAAGGAGUUACUGGUUCACUAAUCUACGUUAUCAUUUAGAGACUGAUGAAAUGAUGUAAAGAAGUAUCUAAUUAAAUAAAGUAACUUUAAACUUGUAACAGUGUUAUGGUUACAAAUUGGCGCCCAACGUAAAAAAUCUCACAAUUGAAAAUUCUACCUGGUGGCGGUUACUUCUGGUAGGACAGGAUGGUACUUUAGAAACAUUGAAUGCUGCACAGUACAGUCAAUACGGUUUUACUUUUUACUGUGAAAAAUUUUUAAACAGAAUUUUAAAAGAACAUUGAGACAAUAAGUUGCUGGAGGGUAUACAAAGUUAACUAAUUUACAAGUAUAAUGGGUGCUGUGAUUGAAAAGCAAUAAAGACUAUAAGACAAUUUAGAAUGGGUGCUGUGAUAGAAUCACUAUAAAGUCAACAGUUUUUGUGAUAGAAACACUCCAGUAAGAUAAUAACUGUGAUCACAACACUGUACUGUGAUAGAAACACUUUAGUAGCUGUGAUAGAACAUAUUUAGAAGAAAACGAUAAAUAGUAUGCUGUAAUCUAUAGACAACUUGGUACAAUGAUAGCAGACUGUUUAAAUACGAAAAUACCAAAACCAAGAAGCAGAGUAGAUAAAACUGAGGAAAACAAUGGGAGAGAAUGUGAGCUCACUACAGAGUCUAGUGAUUCAGAGGAUGAAAUUGUCACACUGACAGUGAAACAUGGGGACGCCCAUAUCUCUGAAACAUAUGACAAAGAAACAAGUGUAAGAGAAUUAGGAUCUCAUAGUGAAGAUAAAGACACUGAACAUAAAGAUGUAACAGUGCGAGGAUUUGAUACAGAAGCAGAAAAUGCAGAAGUAGAAGUAGAAACAGAAGUUAUAGAUGUAUUAGAUGAAAGAACAGAGGUAGAAACUCACUAUGAUGAUCAUAGUAGUGAAGAAAACAAAAGAUCAGAGAAUGAAGUAGAAGAUACAGCAAUAAAAGAAAUGCAUAAAGAAGUACCAAACAAGAAUCAAGAAGUUGAAAUUACAGGCGCAGAAGCAAGUCGUACACACAAAGUAAAAAAAGACAAACCACCAAUCAAACCGAGAAAAUCUGACAGGAAAAACAUCAACAAAAUGCCAAGUUAUUUGCAAGACUAUGUCUGCAAAUCUACCAGUAUAGACAACAGGCCAUUGGAUUUAAAGCUUGAUGCUCUUACAAAGUUUCUGGAGUCAGGCCUACUUAAUACUGUAACUUCAGAUGUAGCACACAGAAUUGUAGAGGCAAUUAUGAAAUAAAUUUUAAAUAAUGCAUAUUUGUUUUUACCAUAGUUGUUCUUAUUAAUUCACUUCUAAUUUGAUAAUAUAAAAGUAACAGAUGUACACAUAUCCAGUUGGUACUAACAUUCUCUUGUGAGAUUAAAUUGUGAGGACCAAUUUUUUUAACCGGGGGAGAAAGGAAGGUAGAUGGUUUCCUGUAACUAUAAAAAUGGAAACUGUAGAUAUAGUUAUACUGCCUUAAGGUGGUUCUUUAACCUAUACAUUGAAAAACAUACUAAACUAUAUCACUUUUUAUUAUAUUUCCCGAGAACUUCAUGUACAGUUUAAAAUAUGUUUUAAUUGUCAUUUGUCAUUACAGGAACAAGACAGAACUUUGCUGCCCAGUUAGCUGUCAUAACCUUUAAUUUUGUAUAAAUUUUUCAAAAUGAUGAGACGUCAUUUUCCAGAGAGGGGGAGAAUGUAGCAGGGUUGAAUUUUAGUAGCUUCUAACCUAAAAUGUCAAUAAUAUGAUUUACAGGUUUUACGCUACACCGAAUUUGAUUGUGUUAUUUUUUACAGCGUAAUCAUACAGUAUUUAGUAGUACUGCAGAGGUUAAAGGUUAAAAUUAUGUACAAAACAAGUACUGAUUGGUCGUUUAGGGUUCAGCGUAGUAAUUUUUGCUAGUGUAGCGGGAGUUUAAUGGAUCAGCUGACUGUACGAUUGAUAGUGAAAGGGGCAGGACUGUUUUCUGUAGGGAGCCCUGUUGUUCCAUCCUGGGGCCUUAGACAAUAUUAGAGAUGUUGUGCAGCAUUUAGAAGUCUUACUAACCAGCACAGUACCGCCACGAGUGAGUGAGCCAGUGUGGUAAAGUGGAGACAUUCAUCUCUUGGAUGAAGGUCGAGAUCUCAUGUUUACGAGAUUGUACGUUUACCAGUUUACUGGAUUACACGUUUAAGGAGUUACUGGUUCACUAAUCUACGUUAUCAUUUAGAGACUGAUGAAAUGAUGUAAAGAAGUAUCUAAUUAAAUAAAGUAACUUUAAACUUG
rnacentral:lncRNA from 1 species